GGAGAUGCAUAGAAUCAUCACAAGCUUAGCUCCUUCUUGUCUCGGUUCUAAGCUUGAGGGGGAGUCUUAAUGCAUAUGAUCCAUGGUCAGUAACAAGUCUUUUGCAAAAGCUUCUACAAGGAUCAUCAACCGAGCCAAGUCAGUGGCGUGUCUAGGCAAGAGGCUGUUCAGAGCAGCCUUGGCAAGUGAGGAAGAAGGCUCUCCAUCAAUGCGGCUUCAAUGAGAGGUGAUUGAGGAGAAGCUGAUCAAUCCAUUCUGCCUUUCCAAGAAGUUGAUGAUGCCAUGAAGAUGGUGCAUUGAGAGAGUUAGGAAACUCACAAAAACACAAGGGAAGUUCCCUUAGACUUUUAAAACUCUUUUCAAUCCUUUUCAUUCAUCUUAUUCAUUGCUUGUACUUGAAAAGAUAUUUAAGAUGAUUAUGAUUGAAUUGUGAGAUUGUGUGCAUCAAGUGUGAUGCAGGAUAUUCAUUUUCUUGGUUUUGAUAGGUACUGAUGCACCUUUGGGAUAAUGUAUCAGGUACCAUUGCUUGAGCCUCACUAAAGAUGUUCCUGGUCAGUUCCUAGCUUCUCUAAGGUGGCUGAGAAGUCUGUCGAGAAGGGGAGACCCAAACCAGUUCGAUGAAGAGGGCAAGCCGUGUGUGAAGUGUUGAUCAGCCUUACUGGUGUUUUGAAGAUGAUCUGGUCGUGUCCUAGCUUCUCUAAAAUGGCUGUGAAGUCAGUUGAGAGGGGGAGACUUCAAACCGGUUCCAUGAAGAGGUGAAGCUGAAGUGUGAAGUGUGCGCAAAGCUGUGUUGAGUUGCUGCACCUAUUAGGCCAUGAUCCAGAGCUUCUUGUGUCCAACCACACUGGUUCUAAGGCACAAGAGCUCACUGGCCAAUCCCUAGGCCCUUAAGAGCUCUACUCUUUUUCCCUUGCAAAGUUUUGUCCCACAGGGUUUUCUUUGCAAGGUUUUUAGUGAGGGAGACUCUUCAGGGUUCCAAGCUUGGCUCAGGAUCUCCUAGAGUCAAGCUUAAGGGGGAGUGUUGAACUGAAGAGAAGAUAGAAGCUUGUGCAAAGAUAGGGCAAGCUUCAGGAGAUGUUCAGAAG
rnacentral:lncRNA from 1 species